rnacentral:sRNA from 1 species
AAUUAUAAAUCUAAAUAUGUCAAUUAAUUUUGGACCUAAAUAUUCAAAACAACUAAACUAUUCAAAAAUUAUUUGUUAUGUUUGUCAAAAUUUAGUAAAAUAUAUUCAAAUAUAAUUAAAUUUAUUAAAACUUAACAAAUUUAAAAGUUUUUUUUGUUUGGAGACCCGCUAUCUACAUACAAAAUACCCGUUUCUAAUUUUUGGGUAUUUUUACGGCCUGAAACUUUUUAUCCAAACUGACCCAAACCCACCUGGACCCGACCCGAACCAGAACCGAAUAUUUAGAAUUAUUCUAUUGGGUAGUAAAUCAUAUACCAUUAAUCCUAAACCUGAACGGGUUCUACCCGAACUCGAAUGGGUUACUCAUAUGUCCAGCCCUAUUCUCUGAUUUAAUUAUCUAAAAACUCCCAAAAAAAACAUAUGUUUCGCUAAUUACUUUUUAUUCGAAAUUUUUUGCAUCCUCUUCUGCCAAAAUCAUUAUAUAAAACAUCCCAAAACCCUUGGAAUAAUGAUUCCAUAAAU